AGAAUAUGCAGCGCGCAUUUCAAGGAGGAGGAUUACCACUCAGGGGAUGCCAAGAUGGUCUCACUUGGUUUAAAGAGUAAGAGGACGGCGAAGUUAAUUCCUACCGCCGUGCCGUCUGUGCAUGCAAACCACUCUGCCUGCCCUGUCCCGAGGUCGAGAGACACCGUCUGCCGCAAGCGAGAGAUUGCCACGAUGUUGACAGACGCCUCACAGCAGGAGACCGUGGCCAGUGUAGACACUGUGGAGAGUGUCGAUACUGGGGAUCAGCCCUUGCCCUCCUCCACUUAUGACGCUGGGACACAAUGUUUUUUGAAGCCCCCCCGAUGGUCUCACGCUGUGCAGGUUAACCUGAAGCCCAAGAUGGUUAGCGUGGGCACACAGACUUCAAUCAGCUCACAAACCUCCACUCCCCUCGCUAGUCCUGAACAGACAGUUGACGACGACGAUGAUGAUAAUGCCACUGUCAUCAGUGACUUGUCGUGGGUGCCCGAAGAGCCGAUGGAUGAGGAGGAAUUGUUUGAUGAGGAGCCACCUUACACGUGUGACCCCCACCACAAUUGCAUUGACAAAUUCAUUGUUUGCCAAGAGGAGCUGAUGGGCCUUUUUGCCAUCUG
ensembl:lncRNA